rnacentral:lncRNA from 1 species
UGCUGGUGAACAACCGUUUGCAGUAUAUAUCUUCCUCCUUGCAUGGAAUCAGCACACGCUCUAACCACUUGGCACCAACAGCAGGUUGUCACUCUGAUGUUCCUUUUUUUGCUUGAACAAUGAUAACGUUGAGGUUGCUAGUAAUGGACGAUUUUUUUCUGCUCCAGUGUCGAACUCGGCAACUUCGACUUAGAACAUAAGCUUCGUGAUGCGCAGGAAAUCAGAUGGAACUCAAAAUUGAGCCCAUCCGCCUUGGAUUCUAUGCGGGUGCAUGUUG